UGGAAUAGUGAAAAUGAAGGAAAAAUGUGUGUGCCAUUUUAGGUGCCUGAUUGAUUCAGGCACAGGAUUAUUUUGUAGUAGUGGAGAAAGAUAACUUCGAGGAGACAACCUCCACAGAC